rnacentral:lncRNA from 1 species
GUCUGACUGAGAAGUUCAAGGAGAAUGACAUGGCUUAUGUGUUGACUGAGAAGAUCUUUUCAAUUGUUGACAUGAUUUUGGAGGUUUGGUUCAAUUAGAAAGAUCGAUGCCAUGUGACCAGCAUAGAAGAUAUUUUCUUAUAACUACCCCUUCCUAUCACUGUAUCAUCAUUCCUGGUUGUGCGUUAAUGAAAAGUUACCUUCGGAGAAAAUGAUAAUUAUCUAUGCUAGCUAACUUUGUUUACCCAGUUUGCAUUAUAGUGUUCCAUCUUACCUAAUGUUGUUACUAUUGCAGCUUGCAAGGCCAGUUUAGUUGACUGCAGCCUAGAUCAAUGUGCAUCGGUCUGGAAAGAAGAACAACCCUUUAGAUUCUCGAUAUGGUCAUUGUGAAUAGCGAGGUCGAUAGCUAUAUAUUGUGAGUUCUAAUUACUUGAUCCUUCCUAUUACCAUUGAAUUGUUUAUUGCAUGGCUAUUAGCUGAGUAGUGAACCAGGAGUUGAAUCAUUGUUAUAAGAACUAAAUAAUCCGGAUUGUGGCACGUCCAUACUAAGAUGUGUAGGGCAAAAGAUUGGCCUCGCCUAGGUUAUUGUAGUAGUUGGGUUGUGAACACCUCAACUAUCGCAACAUCAUCUAUACUUGACAUUUAGUUGGGUUGUUAUGCUGCAUUGGAUGGUUCAGUUACCAACGAAUUUGAUAAUAUUUAUUUUUUAUUUCUUAUAUUCUAUAAAAGUGUCUUCUGAUGCUCUUAAGCUACACAAUCCCAUUAUUGUCAACUUGUCAUAUCAUAAUACAACAAACUACCUUUUUUUACCAUAUUACUAUGCUCAUGUAUGUUUGUUGUCGUCACUACCCCCUCUGAUCGAGAUCGUCGUCGUCCCAUCUCUAUGUGUUAUGAAUAUGCUCCUUUAUUUUGCAAGAAGAAACUUUAUUAAGAUUUGUGUGAUCAAGUUUAUGUGUUGCGGGCUAUGCAGUGUCCCUGGCAAGAGGACCGAGUGUGGGCGGGUGGGCAUCGGCAAGACGGGUUGUCGGUGUGGUGUUGAAGUUGAUCAAUAGUGGUGCACCUACGCCAUGUAUGGAUCAAUACUUAGUUUCCGUCGAGGCCCAACCCAUCCAGGUUCUUAUUGAUCCUUUGCCUCUCGGCUUCUCUUUUAUUGAAACUGCAUAACUAUUCCAUGCCUAAUGCUAUUCCUGCUUGUGAGAGGAGCGACGUGUGUGGAAAAGGCGCACU